rnacentral:snoRNA from 1 species
UUUCAUGAUGACAAACAACGCAAAACUUAUAUAUUUCUGGUACCUCUUAUGUCAGAAGGGGCAUGUGAUCAAGCAUCUCCCUUCGAUGAUCUUAAUGGACUUCUGAUU